GUGGAGGCUGCAGUGAGCCGAGAUCACACCAUUGUCCUCCAGCCUGGGUGACAGAGCCAGACUCCGUCUCAAACAAAACAAAACAAAAGACAUCAGCUAGCUGGUCCAAGCACAGUGGUGUUCACAACGAAUUGAUCACAGCCAGGUAGAAUUCUUCAUUCUUUCUCCAGUUCCACUGCUUUGCUUGACCAGCCUUAAAGACACACAUAUACAUUUUUGUCUGGGCGCGCUGGCUCACACCUGUAAUCCCAACACUUUGGGAGGCCAAGGCAGGCGGAUCACUUGAGGUCAGGAGUUUGAGACCAGCCUGACCAACGUGGAGAAACCCCGUCUCUCCUAAAAAUACAAAAUUAGCCAGGCAUGGUGGCACACGCCUGUAAUCCCAGCUACUGGAGAGGCUGAGGCAGGAGAAUCGCUUGAACCCGGGAGGCGGAGGUUGCCGUGAGCUGAGAUCGCGCCACUGCACUCCAGCCUGGGCAACAAGAGCGAAACUCUGUCUCAAAAAAAAAAAAAAAAAAGUAUAUAUUUUUAAAAGACAUUGGCCGGGUGCGGUGGCUCACGCCUGUAAUCCCAGCACUUUGGGAGGCCGAGGUGGGCAGAUCACGAGGUCAGGAGAUCGAGACCAUCCUGGCCAACACGGUAAAACCCCGUCUCUACUAAAAAUACAAAAAUUAGCUGGGCACGGUGGUGCAUGCCUGUAAACCCAGCUACCAGGUACUCGGGAGGCUGAGGCAGGAGAAUCACUUGAACCAGGGAGUCGGAGGUUGCGGCGAGCUGAGAUCAUGCCACUGCACUGCGGCCUGGAGACAAGAGCAAGACUCCGUCUCAAAAAAAAAAAAAAAAAAAAAAAAAAAAAGACAUCAACUAAUUGCAGUGUGUGGACCUUAUUUGGCUCUUAAUUCAAACUAUUAAACCAAAAAUGUGAACACACCAGGCCUUCGGUGGCAUGAAGGAAUUGUCUGUUGUGUUAGGUGGGUCUGCGGUAUUGCGAUGCCCUCCAAAAUGCUUGCAGAUAAAAGGGUGGCUGGAAUUUGGUUCAAAACAUGGGUCAGGGCUGGGCGUGGUGGCUCAUGCCUGUAAUCCCAGCACUUUGGGAGGCCGAGGCGGGCGGAUCAUCUGAGGUCAGGAGUUCAAGACCAGCCUGACCAAUAUGGAGAAACCCUGUCUCUACUAAAAAUACAAAAUUAGCCAGGCAUGGUGGUGCACGCCUGUAAUCCCAGCUACUCGGGAGGCUGAGGCAGGAAAAGCGCUUGAACCCAGGAGGCGGAGGUUGCCAUGAGCCGAGAUCGUGCCAUUGCACUCCAGCCUUGGCAACAAGAGUGAACUCUGUCUCAAAAAAAAAAACAAAAAACACAUGGGUCAGGAGGGGAAGGGUCGGGGCAGGGAGGGCAGGGCAGGCUCUGGGGUGGGGGGUCUGUGAGUCAGCCACGGCUCUGCCCACGUCUCCCCACGAAGCUUCGAGCCAUGCAGAGCAGCACGUUUUGCAGUACGCCAUCUUUUCCAAAAGCCACCACCUCUCGGCAGCAUCCUUAACCCAAGGCAGGCUGUGGCCUCAGAAGCCCCGGCUGUCCUCCACCUGGAACUGGACACAGCUGUCCCUGCUGAGCUUCAGCAGCCAGGGAGCCACAAGUGGAUAGGCACCUGCGUGAGCCCCCCAGGAAGGCUACUGGUGACACCCAGACAGCAACGCUCCUGGACCCUUGAACACCUGCCAGCAGCUGUGAUCUGUGUCCUUCACCUCUCCCAGCUUGACCCCUCUUCCCUGGGGAAAACCCAGCCGUCUCCCCGAGGAGGAGUUUGCAGGGUAGACAGCAAAAUGGCUGGGCUGCCCCACAGCACAGAGGGUGGCCUGGGGGGCCAGCCAGGGCCUUCACAUCCUUCCUAGGGCCCUAGUUUCCCAUGGGUCCCCUCACCCCACCUUCCAGAACUCUCCCAGCGGCGGCCCCAGGUGUGUACAGAACAGCACCCACCUGCCCACAUGAGGUCACCCUGUGCCCUGUUGCACACUUGAGGGGCCUGGCAUUCGGAAUCUUGCCAGCUCAGGCUGGGACAGGCCACCAACCCCCAGGGUCCCCCUCCUCCAAACCCCAGGACCAGAGCCUAAGAGGACAACACAAGGCAGGGGCGGGGGCUCCACUGCUGUGCCAAGGGCCUGGAGAACACGGGCCUUGCUCUCCGCUCAGCAGCCACCAGCGCCCUUCUCUCCCGGACAGCUCCCGAGGGGCUGCUCUCAUGGACACCAUCAGGUGCUGGGAAGCAGGAACCACCAGGACCUGGACAGAGUCCCCAGUGACCGGCCUGGCAGACAGAGGAGCCCUCAGCUACAGCAUCACAAACAACGGGUGGGGAUACCACAUGGAGCAUUUUGAGGAGUGCUGGCCAGGUAUUUUGUAGAAUGUUCCUCAACUGGGAUUUGGCAGAUGCUUCUCAUCCUUAGUCUUGGCUUGUGUGUGUUUUGAGGAGGAGGACCACAGAGCUUAAGAAUCAUUCUCAGCACUCUGUAUCAGGCACGCAUUCUCUCAAGAUGACUUGCCGCUAUUGAAGUUGACUUUGAUCACCUGGCUGAGGAUCGACAUUUGUUCAAGAAGCCUGGUUCCUUUUACUGGAGAAUGGUGUUUAUUGGAGAACAGAGACCUGGGCACCAGAGGAGGAUCAGAGGACUUCUGUCCUGAGAUUGCCAGAAAAAUGAUGAACAGAAAAUUAUACACAACCGAACAGGCCCAACUUUCAAAUGGACUGAGAAUGACCCACACAAGUUCCACCGAGGCCAAGGGUGACCUGCAGCCAGCGACAGGGAAAGACUGCCACUUACUGGCGGCCUCCGGAACUGGAAGGAGUGUACUGACAAUUGUAUCUUUCGCAAGCUCUUAACCUUUAUACCGUCAAUA